rnacentral:lncRNA from 1 species
AUAAUUUUUGUGGUAGAUCAGUGUUCUUUACAUGUUAAUUGUGGUGGGAAUGAUAUGACUAUAGAAGAAAGCCAUGGAAGAGUUGUAUAUCAAGGAGAUGUGUAUGGUGAUUCUGCAAGAUAUUUAAGUAGCAGUCAAUGGGGUUUUACUGGCACCGGGGACUUCAUGGACGAGCCUAAUUACCAAAAUUCAUGUCUUGUGAUCCUACAUCGACAACAAAUCUCUCUGAUUUGCAUAGUACAGCACGUCUUAAACCUCUUUCACUUACAUAUUUUCAUUAUUGCCUAGAGAAUGGGAGUUACAAUGUGAGCUUGCACUUUGUUGAAAUUCUUUUCACAAAUGACAAUCGUAUUACAGUCUUGGACGG